GACGAACGCUGGCGGCGUGCUUAACACAUGCAAGUCGAGCGGUAAGGCCCUUUCGGGGGUACACGAGCGGCGAACGGGUGAGUAACACGUGGGUGACCUGCCCUCAGCUCUGGGAUAAGCCUGGGAAACUGGGUCUAAUACCGGAUAUGACUCCAUGACGCAUGUUGUGGGGUGGAAAGCCUUGUGCGGCUGAGGAUGGGCCCGCGGCCUAUCAGCUUGUUGGUGGGGUGANGGCCUACCAAGGCGACGACGGGUAGCCGGCCUGAGAGGGCGACCGGCCACACUGGGACUGAGACACGGCCCAGACUCCUACGGGAGGCAGCAGUGGGGAAUCUUGCGCAAUGGGCGAAAGCCUGACGCAGCGACGCCGCGUGAGGGAUGAC
rnacentral:rRNA from 1 species